CGAAGGGAAACCGAGUCUUAACUGGGCGUUAAGUUGCAGGGUAUAGACCCGAAACCCGGUGAUCUAGCCAUGGGCAGGUUGAAGGUUGGGUAACACUAACUGGAGGACCGAACCGACUAAUGUUGAAAAAUUAGCGGAUGACUUGUGGCUGGGGGUGAAAGGCCAAUCAAACCGGGAGAUAGCUGGUUCUCCCCGAAAGCUAUUUAGGUAGCGCCUCGUGAACUCAUCUUCGGGGGUAGAGCACUGUUUCGGCUAGGGGGUCAUCCCGACUUACCAACCCGAUGCAAACUGCGAAUACCGAAGAAUGUUAUCACGGGAGACACACGGCGGGUGCUAACGUCCGUCGUGAAGAGGGAAACAACCCAGACCGCCAGCUAAGGUCCCAAAGUCACAGUUAAGUGGGAAACGAUGUGGGAAGGCUCAGACAGCCAGGAUGUUGGCUUAGAAGCAGCCAUCAUUUAAAGAAAGCGUAAUAGCUCACUGGUCGAGUCGGCCUGCGCGGAAGAUGUAACGGGGCUAAACUGUGCACCGAAGCUGCGGCAGCGACGCUUAUGCGUUGUUGGGUAGGGGAGCGUUCUGUAAGCCUGCGAAGGUGUCCUGUGAGGGAUGCUGGAGGUAUCAGAAGUGCGAAUGCUGACAUAAGUAACGAUAA
rnacentral:rRNA from 2 species